GUGAAUCAUCAAAUUUUUGAACGCAUAUUGCACUCUCUGGUAUUCCGGGGAGUAUGCCUGUUUGAGGAUCAGUUAAAUAAAAAUCGGGGUUUUUGCCACCUUUGGGGGUGACGCUUCGGAAUUGGGUCGUCUUUACCUUGCGGAUAAGUUACUUAAAAUUUUUUGUAUGAUAGCUGAACGUAUUUAAAUUUAUUUGGUACAUGUUGUAAUAUCGAAUGUUUGUUAGGUGUGAUCAUCCUCAUGACUCACGUCUAUAAUUUUUCAUCUAAUGACCUCAAAUCAGUUAAGAGUACCCGC
rnacentral:misc_RNA from 1 species